CCUACGGGAGGCAGCAGUGAGGAAUAUUGGUCAAUGGGCGGGAGCCUGAACCAGCCAAGUCGCGUGAGGGAAGACGGUCCUAAGUAUUGUAAACCUCUUUAGGCGGGGCGCACAGCCGGCCACGCGUGCCCGGAGGAGGAUACCUCGCAAAAUAGCAACGGCUAACUCCGUGCCCACCACCGCGGUUAUACGGAGGAUGCGAGGGUUAUCCGGAUUUUUUGGGUUUAAAGGGUGCGCAGGCCGACUGUUAAGUCAGCGGUAAAAUGGCGGGGCUCAAACCCGGCCGGCCGUUGAAACUGGGGUGCUCGAGUGGGCGAGAAGUAUGCGGAAUGCGUGGUGUAGCGGUGAAAUGCAUAGAUAUCACGCAGAACCCCGAUUGCGAAGGCAGCAUACCGGCGCCACACUGACGCUGAGGCACGAAAGCGUGGGUAUCGAACAGGAUUAGAUACCCGAGUAGUC
rnacentral:rRNA from 1 species